AAGGAACUGCUGACAGAGAAAGAGAGAGAGCAAGCAGCUGGGCACAGGAGUCAUCUAAGGGCCACCGGAGGGGUUUUUUAGUAUCUGAGUGUAGCAGCAAAUGAGGAUGCUAAAGGGAAUCAAGAGGCCCAAGAUAUUGGUUGCAAACUGAGAAGUAACCUUCCAGGAAGGAAUCACAAUUCACCCCUUCUUGCCUGGCUGUGCCACCUGUGAGGGGAACAGAACGAUCUGUACAUACAGCCCAGAGGAGUGCCAGUGUCCAUCCUCUGCUCCAGGUAUGGAUGCUGCUCAUGCCUCACUGACCAGCCUCAGCUUUCCUUGGGGCACCAGAACGGUUUCAAUUGUGCCCCAAACUGGCAAAGCAGACUGGAAGAGUCGUCUGGAGUAGCUGUUUUCUUCUGCAGUCAGCCUGCUUAUUCCUUCUAGUGCUUUCCAGCAACUCUAAUUGCACCGACUGGCACAUAAUUCCUUCUCUGCCACAAGCUGAUGGAUUAUCAGGGGUCCCUGUGCUGACUGGCUGCCCAGAGCUCACCACCACACCUUGCCACUGGCUCAGAGCAAAGGUGGCCACGAGCCACCACCACCGCUGCUGGGUGGCCCUGCGCCAGUAGCACCCAGCUGCAGCUGCCCCACCCUGCCCAGCGCAGCCAGGGCACAGCUCUGGUUCCAGCACUGAGCCAGGCUGUGCCACUUCUGCUUCUCAAGUGGCCUCAGACCAUGCCAGCCCAGUGGCUGUGAGGAGCCAGGAGGCCUCAGGGUGGAAAACUCCCCAUGUGGGUACCAGGGCCCGUGUCUGUCUCCAUUUAUGCUGCAGGAGCCUCCUCUGGAAGAAACUCCUGAUGCUGAUCAGAUUUUUAAAGGAAAAAGGUAAACCCCAUGGAAUCAUGCUCCUAAAACGGGGAAGUCUGUGUGGUUUAAAACUGGGUUGAUGACUCAGGAGCCCUGGAUUCAAAACUGCCACUGGCAGGCUGCUCUCAGCAUGAAAGCAUCAUGCACUGAAAUCUGGGCAUCUGGCAUUUCCCGUCUUGACCGCGGUGGCUAAAAUCUCAAAUCUGUGUGGCAUUGUCUUGUCUCCUUCAGGCCUCUGCCCUGGCCAGGGGCACAAAAAGAGGUUUUGUUGGGGUAACACACACGUAAGCUGCUGCAGCAUGAGCAGAGGUGUGAGGAGAGCUUGGCAACGCCACUGAUAAAUCUUUAUCUGAGUCACUGGUAAACAGGAAGCUGAUGAACAGCUUUACUAUUUUUCUUAGUUUUUUAGGUUCUUUUGGUCUGAUUUUCAUAGCUAUUCUUUUUCACUUGCUUCAUCUCAGGAAACACAUUUUUUUCUGCCAACUCUCGCAGGAAAUGUGCAAGAUACCAAGUACUGGAAACCUCAAGGUUCGUUCAGCCCUCUCUACAAGAGGUGAUGAGUCAAAGGGCCUGGCAAUGAGGGCAUCAGAAUGUCUUUGGCAAAAGCUGGAAGUGUAAGGGUCAAGCUCACAGCGAUGAACAUAGUAAGGCUAAAAGAGUUUGACAAUGCAGAAUGCAGACACUGACACACUUUCGUGCUGUGUUCAACCUGUGGGGGCUUUUCACCACUGUCAGAGAACUUCAAACCUUUCUGGUCAAGACAUCCAGGGGCAGGGGUCUCUAGCAAGGUGUGGCACCAGGCUCUUGGGAACUCAUUUUCCACACCAAAGACCCACCUUGCUGUCCACACCAAGCACGUCCACCAUCCACACCACUGCAAGCAGGCAAAACAAGCACAGCUACUGUGCUGGAUUUGUGAGCCAGAGCGUGGUGGGGGAGAGGGAUGGUCCUUGCUCUCAGUGCCCAGACACACCACGAGCAAGCAGGGCAGACUGUUCAACUGUGCAUCAGCUACCCCUGUUUUGUCUUAAGCUGAAGGCAGCAGUGCAGGUACAAAACCUGCAGAGAUCAGUGCUCACCAUGUUUAAACUCUCUCCUGAUCCUGCAGGGUGCUGCUCGAGAGACCAAGCAAAUAAUGAAGUACCUGCUGCUUACAGGGAGCCAUGCAAGGCUUGACAGCAGCAGCCUGGGGCUGCAAAUGUGGCUUUGGCUGACCAUGCACUGACAGAGAGGAGUUUGCUUUCUGCAUUCACCUUCUUACCCUCUUCUCACCACAGCAGUGAGAAAGAUCCCUUAAGCUAGACAGAGUAAAACAGAUUCUCACCACCUACACCAUCCUCCUUUCCUGUGGGUUGGGGUGGGACAUGCAUAGCCCAAUGAAGAUAAUAGAUACAGCCUAAAAUGUUCAAAAAAUAACAAAUCCAGCAAGAAGCUGGGUUGAAUAAGAGAAGAACGAGUCACUUUCCGGUAUGCAGAUGUGUGGGUCAGGUUUCCUUCUUGAUAUCAAACUGCAGCUUUAUUUUUUUUCUGGUGUGGGUUUCAAAUGAGUGGGAUAAAGCAAAAGAACUUUUCCGCUGCAUAGUUAAAAAUCUCAUUUUUCCUUUUACAAAAGACAUUUUGGGGUUUUUUUGCUGACUCUUCUGAUAAGCUCAAAUAAUUCCAAGGACCAAUAAUUCAAGACGUUCUACGUUGUAAGUUGGUAGGCAGAAGAGUAAAAGGUCAAAAGUUUCAUUAACCUUUUGAGGGUCUUUCUGAGGAGGACCUAACUCAUGACCAGACCUAAUUCAUAGACAAGAAAAAUGGUAAUGUGUCCAUAUUUCUUGGACAGAGCAAAGAAAUCUCAAAGUCAAGAGCUGAGUCACAGUGCUUUAGGCACUCUUAGAAGAAAAAGAAGGCUCUUGGUUUAAUCUCAAAUGAUGCUCAAAACAAAAGAAAUAGUGACUUGGAUGUUUAAGUUUCCUUAACACAAAAUUCUGUCUGCUUGCUUUACCUUUAUUCUAUAAAAUAUGUGCAAAGUGAGUGAUUCCAAACUUGGAAAACUCUUCAUAGUGUCAGCUUUCUUUAAAGAAGAGCCCAGCAUGAAGGUGGGGGCAGUCAGAACUGGGAAACCUUUGUACCUCACUUUGUCAAUCAUAGUUGCCAUAAGCUGGGAUAAAGUAAGCUUGUCUUUUUCACUAUUUAGGACUUUUAUCAGCAAAAUGGGUCUGAAGAUGGAACAAACCAGCUCUUGUUUGUUCCCGCUGUGGCUCACUUCAGCUUGGAAAAUUUAAAGCAAAUUUAAAACAGAAGUUUUCAAGUUCUUCUCUGUAACAUAAUAAAAUAGAUCCUCAGUCCAAGGCUACAAAGUGAGAUCACAUUAAAAAAAAAUGCACAACAUUUUGGGGUUUUCUUUGCUCUUUGAGAUGUGAAUUGGUGUUGUGAUAAGACAUCAAUCAGCAGCUGACCACAUAAACCAAGGGAGGUUAACACAAUGUACAUCCCAAUAAGGCAUGCUAUUCAAGAGUAUGAGUGUGCUCCCAUCAUGAGUUCAUUUAUGCUCUUGCUGUUCAGUUGGUAUAAAACACACCUCUUUGCACAAAAGAAGUGACUGCACAGGAAAAUUAAACAUUGAUCUCCAGACUCUCUAAAAGCCUGUGACAAAAGAGCAUCAUUAAAUCACCAGGAUUGUUAAAAUUCAGCCCUGGGAGUAUCUGCAAGUCUGACAUCCAGUCUUGCUUUUAACACAAAGUUGGUUUUUAGUUAACCUUAUGUCUAGAAUCCUAAGUCUGUCUUAAGGUGCUGGUGGCUAACAAGAUCACACAAAUGGCUUUCAGGUCUUACACAACCCUAUCAGAAAUAGCAUUCAGCACCCUCCAUCUUGCUGAUCCCAAGGGUGUUUGGUGAUCCUCCAAGAAACUUUUCGGGAAAAACAUUCACACAAUCAAUACAAAAAUAAUGGAGGAACCUCGAAAGGAUUUGGGAUUCAGAGAGGUUGGUCUAGCGAAACAGGUGUAACUCCAGUUAGCACAGCUCCAGCUUCAGCAUGGCUGUGCUGUCCUGAAGCAUUCCAAGGGGCACAGCAGGGAGCUCUGCCUGCUCUGUCUGAAAAUCAAUCUUACUCAAAAAGCAAGGGCAUCCAAUCUUCCAGGAAACAAAAAGUUUUCAGCAGCAUCAGCAAAGUGACUGGCUCCCUGUGCGGUGCAGGGCUGAGCCACAGGCUCUGGGGAAGAAGCAGCUGGGCAGGCAGCUGCUUCCUACUGCUGCCCUGACAUCCCACUGUGGCUCCUUCGUGGCCACUGAGUGCACAUUGCACUGCAAAGAGAAGGCUUACCUGAGCUGUCACAACAGAGGGCAGGGAAUUGCUUCAUGCAGACAGAAAAUCCUGCCCGCCAUAAAAAGCAGCCAACUCUGCAGGCAGUGAGGGACACACAGAUGUUACACUUCACUUGAAAUGUUUUCAGAGAACUACACAGGAGAGAAAGGAUCACACACUUUGGCCAUCACCAAAGUGUGAACACACUGCACCUGAGCUGAAAACAUCCCCAGCAUGCUUGUGGUUUCACAUCCUGGCACAGGCACUCUAGGGACUGGAUUACCAAAGGGGAGAAGGUGCUGCAGAGCUGCAUCAGGUUAUCCAGAGCCAUGGGUGCAAAAAUACAGUGAUCAGCCAGGGAAGAAGAAGUGACCAACUUUGAACAUAGCCUCUUCCAAGGCAGUGCAAAAGCAGCUGCAGGAGCAGCAAUUAGGCAUCCCAGAGUCAAAACAAAACAACAGAGGAGCAUCAGAAAGAAAACAACAGGCUGUCCUAAAGAUAAAAUGCCACCCCUGGUCAGCUGCCUCGUAGCAAAGUGCCAGGGUUUGGGAAAGUUUUCCUCAGUGCAGGUAGGUGAAGCAAAUUGCCAUGCCUUUGAUCAUUACCUACCUCUCAGCUUGCUUCAGUGCCUUCCUCCUCCUCCUCCUCCUCCUCGGCUGUGCUCCUGCAGGACCCGUGCAGCAGCCCGUGAGGGAGCAGCUUUCAGUGCUGUGGUGUUGCUGCUCAGCAGUUGCUGGCUCCUGAGGCUGUAGGGAUGCCCAGAUGGAGCUGGAAGCUGGCAUGGGGACAGCACUGGCUGCCUUUGGGCAUUGAGGUUCCCCCCCUAAGCAAAUAGUCAGACAUAGUCCAGUUUUCUGGAAAGAGUGUUUCUGUAUGUUUCAAUCUACGUGAGCUGCUGUCUCCCUGACUGCUGCAGCUGUUACCCAGCUUCUCUGUCUCUAAUUGUGAAUGUGGUCCUAGAGUGCCUGCAGAUUUCACGGUGCACGAUUAAAACGGGCAAAAUGCUCCAUGUUGGAGCAAUGCCGGAGUAGGAAACACAGUGUGAGCUCCUCAGUUCAGACAGCUACAUGUUGGGGGUUUUUACACUUGCACAGCCUCUUUCCCUGUGUCCCAUCUAUUCUGAGUAGUCCUUUCAUCUCUGCUGGACCCCACCACAGGACAUCAGGGGCAGCCUGGAGCACAGGAUGGCAAGGGCUGUACAGGCA